ACGAAAACCUGCGAACACGUUCCAAAAUCUGCGUCGGGCGUCGGGGUAAAACCUGCGCCCCUCGCCACUUGCCCGGCCGAACGGCGACCCUACCGGUCUGUCGGUCGUGUCGGGCAACCGAAACAAAAACCGGCGCGGGAAGCGCCAAGGACUUUACCCCCCCCACCCUCGCCCCGAAAGGGUCGUGGGAAGAGCAGGGGGCGGAAGUUGGCUUCCCGUGCCUAGUCGCGGCCAGCCUAAAAAAUGGUUCCCUCGCCGCGGACGUCGCGACAAGUGGUGGUCGUCGAGAUUGAACGCGAGUCGCCGACAAGCCGCGUCGAGGAGAGCGAUUGGACCCUGUGCACGUGAGUCCCUCGCCGAGGGACGACCGGCACGACCAGCGACCCCAG
rnacentral:misc_RNA from 1 species